rnacentral:rRNA from 3 species
UGGCGGCACUAGCGCGGUGGUCCCACCUGACCCCAUGCCGAACUCAGAAGUGAAACGCCGUAGCGCCGAUGGUAGUGUGGGGU